CUACAAGAUUGACGAUCAGGUGCCCGCAGUCUUGCGGGAGAAUCGGGAAGCCGGCGCAAAUCCGGCACGUGCCCAACGCUGUAAGGUGGAUGCGCGCGCAAGGGGAAACCCGGCCACUGGUGGACAAGACCGGGAAGGCGGCGUGUGCAGCAGAUGCCAAGUCAGAAGACCGGCCUGAUGAGAUAGACUUGCC
rnacentral:ncRNA from 1 species